rnacentral:rRNA from 1 species
UGCGUAGGUGGCGCCGUAAGUGGGGUGUGAAAUCCCGGGGCUUAACCCCGGGACUGCAUUCCAUACUGCGGUGCUUGAGGACUGGAGAGGAGACUGGAAUUUACGGUGUAGCAGUGAAAUGCGUAGAGAUCGUAAGGAAGACCAGUGGCGAAGGCGGGUCUCUGGACAGUUCCUGACACUGAGGCACGAAGGCCAGGGGGAGCAAAACCGG